rnacentral:rRNA from 1 species
UUUGUUUGGAGAGUUUGAUCCUGGCUCAGGACGAACGCUGGCGGCGUGCUUAACACAUGCAAGUCGAACGGAAAGGCCCUUUCGGGGGUGCUCGAGUGGCGAACGGGUGAGUAACACGUGGGUGAUCUGCCCUGCACUUUGGGAUAAGCCUGGGAAACUGGGUCUAAUACCGAAUAGGACCAUGGGAUGCAUGUCUUGUGGUGGAAAGCUUUUGCGGUGUGGGAUGGGCCCGCGGCCUAUCAGCUUGUUGGUGGGGUGAUGGCCUACCAAGGCGACGACGGGUAGCCGGCCUGAGAGGGUGUCCGGCCACACUGGGACUGAGAUACGGCCCAGACUCCUACGGGAGGCAGCAGUGGGGAAUAUUGCACAAUGGGCGCAAGCCUGAUGCAGCGACGCCGCGUGGGGGAUGACGGCCUUCGGGUUGUAAACCCCUUUCAGUACCGACGAAGCGUAAGUGACGGUAGGUACAGAAGAAGCACCGGCCAACUACGUGCCAGCAGCCGCGGUAAUACGUAGGGUGCGAGCGUUGUCCGGAAUUACUGGGCGUAAAGAGCUCGUAGGUGGUUUGUCGCGUUGUCCGUGAAAACUCACAACUCAAUUGUGGGCGUGCGGGCGAUACGGGCAGACUGGAGUACUGCAGGGGAGACUGGAAUUCCUGGUGUAGCGGUGGAAUGCGCAGAUAUCAGGAGGAACACCGGUGGCGAAGGCGGGUCUCUGGGCAGUAACUGACGCUGAGGAGCGAAAGCGUGGGGAGCGAACAGGAUUAGAUACCCUGGUAGUCCACGCCGUAAACGGUGGGUACUAGGUGUGGGUUUCCUUCCUUGGGAUCCGUGCCGUAGCUAACGCAUUAAGUACCCCGCCUGGGGAGUACGGCCGC